rnacentral:rRNA from 1 species
ACUCCUACGGGAGGCAGCAGUGGGGAAUUUUGGACAAUGGGCGAAAGCCUGAUCCAGCAAUGCCGCGUGUGUGAAGAAGGCCUUCGGGUUGUAAAGCACUUUUGUCCGGAAAGAAAUCCUUGGCUCUAAUACAGUCGGGGGAUGACGGUACCGGAAGAAUAAGCACCGGCUAACUACGUGCCAGCAGCCGCGGUAAUACGUAGGGUGCAAGCGUUAAUCGGAAUUACUGGGCGUAAAGCGUGCGCAGGCGGUUCGCUAAGACCGAUGUGAAAUCCCCGGGCUUAACCUGGGAACUGCAUUGGUGACUGGCGGGCUAGAGUAUGGCAGAGGGGGGUAGAAUUCCACGUGUAGCAGUGAAAUGCGUAGAGAUGUGGAGGAAUACCGAUGGCGAAGGCAGCCCCCUGGGCCAAUACUGACGCUCAUGCACGAAAGCGUGGGGAGCAAACAGGAUUAGAUACCCUGGUAGUCCACGCCCUAAACGAUGUCAACUAGUUGUCGGGUCUUCAUUGACUUGGUAACGAAGCUAACGCGUGAAGUUGACCGCCUGGGGAGUACGGUCGCAAGAUUAAAACUCAAAGGAAUUGACG